rnacentral:rRNA from 1 species
UACGGAGGGUGCAAGCGUUGUCCGGAAUUACUGGGCGUAAAGAGUUCGUAGGUGGUUUGUCGCGUUGUUCGUGAAAUCUCACGGCUUAACUGUGAGCGUGCGGGCGAUACGGGCAGACUAGAGUACUGCAGGGGAGACUGGAAUUCCUGGUGUAGCGGUGGAAUGCGCAGAUAUCAGGAGGAACACCGGUGGCGAAGGCGGGUCUCUGGACAUUUCCUGACGCUGAGGCACGAAAGCCAGGGGAGCAAACGGG